UACGGAGGGUGCAAACGUUGCUCGGAAUCAUUGGGCGUAAAGCGCACGUAGGCGGUCCGGCAAGUCGGAUGUGAAAUCCCUCGGCUCAACCGAGGAAGUGCAUUCGAAACUGCCAGACUUGAGUAUGGAAGAGGAGAGUGGAAUUCCUGGUGUAGCGGUGAAAUGCGCAGAUAUCAGGAGGAACACCCGUGGCGAAAGCGGCUCUCUGGGACGGUACUGACGCUGAGACGCGAAAGCGUGGGGAGCAAACAGG
rnacentral:rRNA from 1 species